rnacentral:rRNA from 1 species
GACGAACGCUGGCGGCGUGCCUAAUACAUGCAAGUAGAACGCUGAAGAGAGGAGCUUGCUCUUCUUGGAUGAGUUGCGAACGGGUGAGUAACGCGUAGGUAACCUGCCUGGUAGCGGGGGAUAACUAUUGGAAACGAUAGCUAAUACCGCAUAAAAUUGAUUAUUGCAUGAUAAUUAAUUGAAAGAUGCAACUGCAUCACUACUAGAUGGACCUGCGUUGUAUUAGCUAGUUGGUGAGGUAACGGCUCACCAAGGCGGCGGUACAUAGCCGACCUGAGAGGGAGGACGAGCACAACGGGAAUGGGACACGGGCCAGACUCCCACGGGGGGGAGCAGUAGGGGAACUUUGGCGAAGGGGGGAAAGCCGACCCAGCAAAGCCGCGGGGGUGGAAAAAGGUUUUCGGGCUUAAAAGUCUGUUUUAUGAGAAAAACAAGUGUGAGAGUGAAAAGUUGCCACUGUGACGGUAUCUUACCAGAAAGGGACGGCUAACUACGUG